rnacentral:rRNA from 1 species
CUGGCUCCGGUUGGGGACAACCACUGGAAACGGUGGCUAAUACCGGAUGUGCCUAAGGGUGAAAGAUUAAUUGCCUGGAGAUGAGCUCGCGUCUGAUUAGCUAGUUGGUGAGGUAAAGGCUCACCAAGGCGACGAUCAGUAGCUGGUCUGAGAGGACGAUCAGCCACACUGGGACUGAGACACGGCCCAGACUCCUACGGGAGGCAGCAGUGGGGAAUUUUCCGCAAUGGGCGAAAGCCUGACGGAGCAAUACCGCGUGAGGGAGGAAGGCUCUUGGGUUGUAAACCUCUUUUCUCAGGGAAGAACAAAAUGACGGUACCUGAGGAAUCAGCAUCGGCUAACUCCGUGCCAGCAGCCGCGGUAAUACGGAGGAUGCAAGCGUUAUCCGGAAUGAUUGGGCGUAAAGGGUUCGUAGGUGGUAGUGAAAGUUUGCUGUUAAAAGUCGGGGCUCAACCCCGAACCGGCGGUGAAAACUACACAACU